rnacentral:rRNA from 1 species
UAAGUUUUAUUCUUAUUUUAGUGCCUCGUUAAUUUAUUUUAUUUAAAUUAAUUUAUAUAGAAGGGGUAAAAGAAAUGUUUGAUUUCAGCUUAAUUUUUUACGUUAUUAUUAAAAUUGUAUGAAAGCUAAGGCGUGAUAUAAAUAAUUUAAUUAAAUAUUAAAUUAGUUAAAAAGUAAAGGUAAAUUAUGAAACUUUAUAGUCUCAGCAUAAAAUAUUAUAAGCAAUAUAUUAAAGUAUGAUAUAGUAGUAAUAAUCUAAGUCUGAUUAAUAUUUGUGCCAGCAUUCGCGGUUAUACUUUAAGAUUAAGUAAAAAUUCAAGGUUAUAGUUAAAUAGGUAAUUAAUAAAAUAUAUAAGUAAUAAAGGGUAAAAUCGGAAUAUUAUUUUGUAUAAAAAAAAAUUCUAAUUGAAGCUAAAAAAGUUUAGUAAUAAACUAGGAUUAGAUACCCUAUUAUUCUAAAAUAAAAUAAUCUAGACCAAAUUAGUAAGAGAUAAAUACUUAAAAUUUAAAAAAUUUGGCGGCAAUUUAAUCUUUUCAGAGGAACCUGUUUUGUAAUCGAUAAACCACGAAAAAUCUUACUUGUUCUUGUAAAUAAAACAGUUUGUAUACCAUCAUUAUCAGAUAAUUCUUAGAGGAGAAAUUAUUAAAUUUGGUUGUUUAGUUAAAUUAGAUCAU